rnacentral:rRNA from 1 species
CCGUCUUGAAACACGGACCAAGGAGUCUAGCAUGCGCGCGAGUCACUGGGACAGCGUUACACCCACGGGCGCAAUGAAAGUGAAUAGCGCGCGGAGGGCUCGCCCUCCGCGCCGCAGGGAGGAUGGCGCUCGCGUCCGCGCGCGCGCCCGCACUCCCGAGGCGUUUCGAGAAAUGCCAUCGUCGCGAUUAUCGAGACGCACUGAGAGCGCGCACGCUGGGACCCGAAAGAUGGUGAACUAUGCCUGGUCAGGUCGAAGUCAGGGGA